UUACUUUUCAACUUGACUCAAAUCACUCAAGUGUUCAUGUCUCGAAUCAAACAUGAUUUUUCACUACUUUUAGUGUUUCAUCUCUAGCACCUAUAAAUCAUUCUCCCCUCAUAAUCAUUCACAAUGUUAGAAAACAUACACUUCCAUUGAUGAUUUGAAAUCUCACAAACCACUUGUUCUCUCAUUUUUCAAAAGAGUUUUGGACCUUUCUUGAACACUUGCAAACGAUUUCUUUCAUCUUCUAUCUCAUUCCUUUUCCAUUGUUGCAUGGAUAUGAAUCUUAUAUCUGAAGAUUCUUUAUUGAUUGAGAAGAUUUGUUUUUGAAUUUAAUGUUUCUUUGAAUAUUUGGUUAAGAUUUCAGAGGUUCGCAAGAGUGUGUAGUGUUGUGAAUGGUUCUAACAAAUCCAAUGAAAAAGAAGGAUGUUCUUCUCUCCAGGUUAACCUUGGUAGUGAUGUGUAAAAAGCUUCAGACAGGGUAGGUGUUAUUCUCAAUCUUCGGGCAAACCAACACUCAAUAUACCGAUGGAUUUGAGUAAAGAUUGUCAUUGACAAAUUCUUAUGAUCAUUUUGUUGGGGCUAGAAGAUUCAAGAAACGAAUUUGAGUAAAGAUUUUGCAUAGAGUUAUGUUCGUGAAGUUGUGUGAAAUUCAAAGAUCCUGAAAGAACAAAUUUAUAUUUCAGCAUUUAUUUUGUACUUGUGAUUGUACGAACUCUUGUAAUUUUGUUAAGAAUCAUAUUGAAAGACCAACGAAUUUCCAAUGGGAAACCAUUGGAGAGUGGAUUAAGCACAAAGUGAGGACGAACGUGUCAAACCACUAUAAAUCCCAAUGUACUUUAUUCUCUCUCUCUCUCUCAUUUUAAUUUCAUAGUUAAUUGCAUGUCUAAUUUGUUCUUUAUCGCUUUCUAGAAUUGCA
rnacentral:lncRNA from 1 species